UAAUGAAAACACGGUGCUGGCAAUGGUUUGUUUAUCUACAACAAAAUAAACAAAGCACUUGAUCUCUUACUAGCCAUUGGUACAUCAUUUGUGGUGGUUCCUGUAACUCAUGUUAAAGGGUUACUUAAACCAAAACACUGUGUUUUGAAAACACUAUCUUUUGGUUGUUACAAGAAAACUCCUCUUCCUAUCCAAUGCUUAGGCCAAGUUCUCCCUGCAGCCCAACAUGAUGGAUUUUUUUUAUAUACAGAAUUGAUUUUAGCCAGCAUUUGUUCAUGGCCAACUAAUGAUGCUUUCAGAGAUGGACUUAUACUGAAGCAAAACUAAUUAUCACUCUAUGAGCAGCAUUUCAUAACCAUUUCAAAACAGUUUGGAGUAACCCUUUAAUCUUUUUCCUUCUGUACAACUUGAGGCUAUAGGCCAUGUGAUUACUUACCAAGUUGCAUCACGACAAGUUCCUAUUGGACUGUACCCUACAACCACUAUAUCAUGCUUUCUGCAGAAUUCCAGUAAUUUAUUCUGUGUGAAGUAAGGGUGACACUCAACCUAAACCAAGAGAGAAGGGACACAUAAACUCCAACAUAUUUCAG